rnacentral:rRNA from 1 species
AGAGUUUGAUCCUGGCUCAGGAUGAACGCUGGCGGCGUGCUUAACACAUGCAAGUCGAACGUGAUCUCGUCUUCGGAUGGGUGAAAGUGGCGAACGGGUGAGUAACACGUUGGUGACCUGCCCCGAGGUGGGGGAUAACUGUGGGAAACCAUGGCUAAUACCCCAGNAUGUCUAAGGGUUUAGACGCUUUAGNACUAAAGUUCCGGCGCCUCGGGAGGGGCCUGCGGGCUAUCAGCUAGUUGGUGGGGUAAUGGCCUACCAAGGCUAAGACGGCUAGGGGGCGUGAGAGCGUGACCCCCCACAAUGGAACUGAGACACGGUCCAUACUCCUACGGGAGGCAGCAGUGAGGAAUAUUGAGCAAUGGGCGCAAGCCUGACUCAGCAACGCCGCGUGGAUGAUGAAGGCCUUCGGGUUGUAAAAUCCUUUUCUGAGGGAAGAUAAUGACGGUACCUCAGGAAUAAGUUCCGGCUAACUACGUGCCAGCAGCCGCGGUAAAACGUAGGGGACGAGCGUUAUCCGGAUUUACUGGGCGUAAAGCGCAUGUAUGUGGCGCGGAAAGUUGGACGUGAAAGCUCCCGGCUUAACUGGGANAGGUCGUUCAAAACUUCCGCGCUUGAGUGUUGGAAGANGAGAGCGGAAUUCCCCGGUGUAGUGGUGGAAUGCGUAGAUAUCGGGGAGGAACACCAGUGGGC